UAAGAUAAAGAUGGGUCUGAGUGGUCCCCUCCAGCUCCCCGAUCUAAAAACUGCUGAGCUGCAUGAACAUUUGGAACCCAGAUCCGGUCUCCAGUUUUGCAAGUUGCUUUAGGUUUAUAACAGGCCAAAACAAUUUUGCAGCAUAGGCACAGGUGCCAUCAUACACAAGUUUGAUCCUCACACAGCAUCUCAUCCAGGGAAAGAAGCAGUUAGAAACUCAACUCACCAUCAAGAUCCAACAGGAACACCAGAGUGGAAAGGGGUGGAGUGUAGGGGAGGAGAAGCCCCACAGAAGCCUAACAUUGACUCAACCGCACCAAGUCCACCGAGUGACCACAUGUACCACCUCUCCAUGAUUAAACACUCAUCUUACAGGAAGAGCAAGUCAAGGUGGGCAACAGGAGGAAGGUACAUUACGACCAAGUGAACAGGGCAUGUGCAGCAUCCAGCAACAAUUUUUCCAGCUUGGCAUAAGUGCUUGACCUUUCACUCUCUUGUAUGCUGUAUGGGUGGGAGUGUGGUUGUGGAAAAGGAAAUCAUCAGCUGGUGACUGCUGAAGAAUGCAGACAGAUAAAAGGCCAAAACAAGAAGAAUCCACCCCAGAACAGCAAGAGACCAAUGGCAAUUGACCUUCAAGGAUGAACACAGUGAUAACACAGCAAAAGCCCA